GAUGAACGCUAGCGGCAGGCUUAAUACAUGCAAGUCGAGGGGCAGCACGGGUAGCAAUACCUGGUGGCGACCGGCAAACGGGUGCGGAACACGUACGCAACCUACCCAAAACUGAGGAAUAGCCCGGGGAAACCCGGAUUAAUACUUCGUAACAUAUUAGAGUGGCAUCACUUUAUUAUUAUAGCUCCGGCGGUUUUGGAUGGGCGUGCGCCUGAUUAGGUAGUUGGCAGGGUAACGGCCUACCAAGCCUACGAUCAGUAACUGGUGUGAGAGCACGACCAGUCACACGGGCACUGAGACACGGGCCCGACUCCUACGGGAGGCAGCAGUAAGGAAUAUUGGUCAAUGGACGCAAGUCUGAACCAGCCAUGCCGCGUGGAGGAUGAAGGCCCUCUGGGUUUGUAAACUUUCUUUUAUUUGGGAAGAAACCCAUAUUUUUCUAAUGUGGUUGACGGUACCAGAUGAAUAAGCACCGGCUAACUCCGUGCCAG
rnacentral:rRNA from 1 species